rfam:Haemonchus placei strain MHpl1 genome assembly, scaffold: HPLM_scaffold0002595
GGCACAAACCUGAAGUAGAGUAGUUUAGUAGGGUCAGAAAAUCAUACUGUUCUACACUACUUCAAGUUUGGGCCC